GGCUANNAUGCAGUCGACGAUGNAAGCCNUUCGGGGUGGAUUAGUGGCGAACGGGUGAGUAACACGUGGGCAAUCUGCCCUUCACUCUGGGACAAGCCCUGGAAACGGGGUCUAAUACCGGAUAACACUCUGUCCCGCAUGGGACGGGGUUAAAAGCUCCGGCGGUGAAGGAUGAGCCCGCGGCCUAUCAGCUUGUUGGUGGGGUAAUGGCCUACCAAGGCGACGACGGGUAGCCGGCCUGAGAGGGCGACCGGCCACACUGGGACUGAGACACGGCCCAGACUCCUACGGGAGGCAGCAGUGGGGAAUAUUGCACAAUGGGCGAAAGCCUGAUGCAGCGACGCCGCGUGAGGGAUGACGGCCUUCGGGUUGUAAACCUCUUUCAGCAGGGAAGAAGCGAAAGUGACGGUACCUGCAGAAGAAGCGCCGGCUAACUACGUGCCAGCAGCCGCGGUAAUACGUAGGGCGCAAGCGUUGUCCGGAAUUAUUGGGCGUAAAGAGCUCGUAGGCGGCUUGUCACGUCGGAUGUGAAAGCCCGGGGCUUAACCCCGGGUCUGCAUUCGAUACGGGCUAGCUAGAGUGUGGUAGGGGAGAUCGGAAUUCCUGGUGUAGCGGUGAAAUNGCGUAGAA
rnacentral:rRNA from 1 species